rnacentral:rRNA from 1 species
UACGGGGGGAGCAAGCGUUGUUCGGAUUUACUGGGCGUAAAGGGCGCGUAGGCGGUCAGCACAAGUCAGUUGUGAAAUCUCCGGGCUUAACUCGGAAAGGUCAACUGAUACUGUGCGACUAGAGUGCAGAAGGGGCAACUGGAAUUCUCGGUGUAGCGGUGAAAUGCGUAGAGAUGCGGAGGAACACCGAUGGCGAAGGCAGCCCCCUGGGCUGACACUGACGCUCAGGCACGAAAGCGUGGGGAGCAAACAGG